rnacentral:lncRNA from 1 species
CUUUAUUUUACAUAUAUGGAUUUUAUCGAAUUUUAUCGAUCAGUAAUAAUAAUGCCAGUAAUUUGAACGUGGUAUAUAGACUUAAUUUCUUUAUGAACUCCUAAUUUUAUCAAUUCCAAUAAAAUAAUGAAAUUCAAAAUUUGAUUCAGAUAGGAAUCCAAAAAGAUGGUAGGUACUUUUUUUUUAUUCACAAAAGUGACUAAUUUAAACCUAAAAUCCUAAAAUGAAGAAGAUUCUGUUGAUUCAUUUCUAGAUUUAAUCGAUACCUUAUUGAUUUAUCGACUACUCGAAUUAGAUUCGAAUGAGAUGUAAGACAAAGCAUGUGUACAUUUGUUCACUUUCAGAUACUCUAUACGAAACAGGAUAUAUAGUACUAUCAAUUUAUUUUCAAUCGUGGAUACAUAUGUAUCCUAAAGAUACUGAAACGACUACUACUCUAUACGAAACAGGAUAUAUAGUACUAUCAAUUUAUUUUCAAUCGUGGAUACAUAUGUAUCCUUAAGAUACUGAAACGACUACCAUUAUUG